CCUACGAGUGGCAGCAGUGAGGAAUAUUGGUCAAUGGACGCAAGUCUGAACCAGCCAUGCCGCGUGCAGGAAGACGGCUCUAUGAGUUGUAAACUGCUUUUGUACGAGGGUAAAUCCCGAUACGUGUAUCGGGUUGAAAGUAUCGUACGAAUAAGGAACGGCUAACUCCGUGACAGCAGCCGCUGUAAUACGGAGGAUUCAAGCGUUAUCCGGAUUAAUGGGGGUUACAGGGUGCGUAGGCGGUUCGAUAAGUUAGCGGUGAAAUCCCGGGGCUCAACUCCGGCACUGCCUCUGAUACUGUCGGGCUAGAUGUUAGUUGCGGUAGGCGGAAAGUAUGGUGUAGCGGUGAAAUGCAUAGAGAUCAUACAGAACACCGAUUGCUAAGGCAGCUUACCAAACUACGACUGACGUUGAGGCACGAAAGCGUGGGGAGCAAACAGGAUUAGAUACCCCAGUAGUC
rnacentral:rRNA from 1 species